UACGUAGGGUGCGAGCGUUAAUCGGAAUUACUGGGCGUAAAGCGUGCGCAGGCGGUUUUGCAAGCCGGAUGUGAAAUCCCCGGGCUUAACCUGGGAAUGGCAUUCGGGACUGCAAGGCUGGAGUGCGGCAGAGGAGACUGGAAUUCCUGGUGUAGCAGUGAAAUGCGUAGAUAUCAGGAGGAAUACCGAUGGCGAAGGCAGGUCUCUGGACCGUAACUGACGCUGAGACACGAAAGCGUGGGUAGCAAACAGG
rnacentral:rRNA from 1 species